GAUUUAAGGUUUCAUAUUUUUCUGACACCCAUAGAGUGAGAAAUAAAAUCCGAAAGCUAUCUGAUAAAGAUUGCAGUUCGGUACAGUUUUCAGUGACCAAAUGGGGUCGAAACUGAACCAGUGAUCGUCAGCUUGUUAAGUUAAGUAAAACCGAACAUGACUGUCAAGUUUGAGCUCAAACGGAGAUUCAGGGAGCUCCGGCGAAAGUUAUCAGAUUUUAAGCUGCCUGGAGGUGAAUAGUGUUGGGGUGUAAUUAAAUAGAAGCAUGAUGCUUCUUCUUCCUCCUUCAGCCGUGCACACCCACACACACCUCACGCACACAUGGAGAGAGGAGAGAAACUCUCCUUUCUCUCUCUAGAGAUCUCUCUCAUUUCUCUAUAUUUCUCGCUCAAAUUCGCGGGGUUGGUGGAGAAUAUGCUUACGCACGCGUUGGAGGCGACGGAUUGAGCUUUCGUGCGCCCGUUGGAGCGGUGUGUUGUCGUCGCGGCGUUCACAUUGAGGUAAGCUUUUAGGAUUUGGCUUAAUCCUUAGCUUUAAGUAUUCUAAUAGCCUCUAAUGAGCUUUGUUAGCAUGUUGAUCCAUUUAAUUUUGGAUUAUUUUGAGGUUAAUAACAUAUUAGGGCUCCGAAUGGGGUUUUGUAAAAUAUAAGGGUUUGAUCUAAUUUGACCCUCCGUAAACCUAAUUGCUAGGUAAACGAACGCGUUGGCGAAGACGGUUCGGCGAUCCGACGAGCUGUUACAAAGUUAUUAAAGAAAUGGACGUUUAGGCUUCGGGUCCGCCGGGAGGGCCGAGGCGAUAUCGUAAAUUCAUGAAAAUGGAUUUGAAGCAUCGUGGCACAUAACCGAAGACCUUUAAUUUUCGGAUCGUGAAUUGGAGGCCGUUCGGGUGGUCGCGUGAGAGAUCGGGCCAAACCGGGUUACGGGUGCCGCGGGAGGCCGAUUGCAAGUGUCGACAAGCAAUCGGAAUGCGAAAUGAGGUGGGUUGUGCUCACCGAAGCGAUUAGGUCGCUUUCCAUGCUAAAGUGUAGUAUGUUUACUAUUGAUGCAUGAUAAAGUAUGCUAUUUAAGAAUGCAUGAUAAAGAUUAAAGUAUGCUAUUUGAGAAUGCAUGAUAAAGUAUGCUAAUUAAGAAUGCAUGAUAAAGAUAGAUGCCAAAUGAAUGCAUGAGUUGAUGUUAAUUUAUAUGUGCAUAUUAUAGAAAUGCUAAAUAGAUGUCAAAUGAAAGUAUGAGAUUUGUACUAACCGAGAAUGCAUGUAGUAAAUGUUAACGAAUGCAUAAAAUGCUAAGUAAUGACUACCAAUGGAUGACAAAAUAUAUGCAUGUUGAACAUAGAUCGAGUGGCAUUCGAAAUGGUAAAGUGGACACUAGAGUUAGUGUGGGACAUCAAAGAAUAAAUGUGAUGUAAAGAACAAUGAUAAUGGCUAAAGAUAAUGUAAAACAAUGUGAUGAUAAUAAUGUAAUGUUGCAUGAUGUGAGUACACGUGCUUAUUAGAAUGAUUAAGAAUCUAAAUAAUCUAUGUGUAUGCAUGAGAUGUAAUGUGAGAACC
rnacentral:lncRNA from 1 species